rnacentral:rRNA from 1 species
CCUACGGGUGGCAGCAGUGAGGAAUAUUGGGCAAUGGCCGGAAGGCUGACCCAGCCAUGCCGCGUGAAGGUCAGUGCCCUAUGGGCGUUAAACUUCUUUUGUGCGGGAGCAAUAAUGGUCACGUGUGGCCAGACGAGAGUACCGUACGAAUAAGCAUCGGCUAACUCCGUGCCAGCAGCGGCGGUAAUACGGGGGAUGCAAGCGUUAUCCGGAUUUGAUGGGUUAAAAGGGUUCGGAGGCUGGGAGGUAAGUCAGCGGUGAAAUGCCCCCGCUCCACGGGGUGAAGUGCCAUUGAUACUGCCUUGCUGGAAUGCGGAUGCGGUGGGAGGAAUGUGUGGUGUAGCGGUGAAAUGCAUAGAUAUCACACAGAACACCGAUUGCGAAGGCAUCUCACGAAUCCGCGAUUGACGCUGAUGCACGAAAGCGUGGGUAUCAAACAGGAUUAGAUACCCCAGUAGUC